UACGAAGGGGGCUAGCGUUGUUCGGAUUUACUGGGCGUAAAGCGCACGUAGGCGGAUCGUUAAGUCGGGGGUGAAAUCCUGGAGCUCAACUCCAGAACUGCCUUCGAUACUGGCGAUCUUGAGUCCGGAAGAGGUGAGUGGAACUCCUAGUGUAGAGGUGGAAUUCGUAGAUAUUAGGAAGAACACCAGUGGCGAAGGCGGCUCACUGGUCCGGUACUGACGCUGAGGUGCGAAAGCGUGGG
rnacentral:rRNA from 1 species